UGCCAGCAGCCGCGGUAAUUCCAGCUCCAAUAGCGUAUAUUAAAGUUGUUGCAGUUAAAACGCUCGUAGUCGGAUUUCGGGGCGGGGCCGCCGGUCUGCCGAUGGGUAUGCACUGGCGGUCGCGUCCUUCCUUCCGGAGACUGGCCCUACUCUUAACUGAGCGGGGUCGGGAGACGGAUCGUUUACUUUGAAAAAAUCAGAGUGUUUCAAGCAGGCAGCUCGCUCUUGCAUGGAUUAGCAUGGGAUAAUGAAAUAGGACUUUGGUGCUAUUUUGUUGGUUUCGAACACCGAAGUAAUGAUUAACAGGGACAGUCAGGGGCACUCGUAUUCCGCCGAGAGAGGUGAAAUUCUCAGACCAGCGGAAGACGAACCACUGCGAAAGCAUUUGCCAGGGAUGUUUUCACUGAUCAAGAACGAAAGUUAGGGGAUCGAAGACGAUCAGAUACCGUCGUAGUCUUAACCAUAAACCAUGCCGACUAGGGAUUGGCGGAUGUCCUUCUUUGACUCCGUCAGCACCUUAAGGGAAACUAUAGUCUUUGGGUUCCGGGGGGAGUAUGGUCGCAAGGCUGAAACUUAAAGGAAUUGACGGAAGGGCACCACCAGGAGUGGAGCCUGCGGCUUAAUUUGACUCAACACGGGGAAACUUACCAGGUCCAGACAUUGUGAGGAUUGACAGAUUGAGAGCUCUUUCUUGAUUCGAUGGGUGGUGGUGCAUGGCCGUUCUUAGUUGGUGGAGUGAUUUGUCUGGUUAAUUCCGUUAACGAACGAGACCUUAGCCUAUUAAAUAGUGGCGCGAACACCUUGUUGGCGGUUCACUUCUUAGAGGGACAACUUGUCUUCAACAAGUGGAAGUUUGAGGCAAUAACAGGUCUGUGAUGCC
rnacentral:rRNA from 1 species